CGUACACAAAGUGUUAAUAUUUCAUUCAUGAAUCCUAAAGUUUCGAUAUCACAAUGGAUCGUUUAAGACAAAGAAGAAACGAGCGCAAGCAAAAGUCACGCCCUACAGGAUGUCUUGCUAGAGCGUGGCAUGCUGUCGUGAAUUUCUUUUUUUACUGCAUCGUGAACAGCACUGCUGUGGAUGACGACCAAGUACCCGAUGAGGCCGAGCAGUACGUCCCAUCUCAUCAAGCUUCACAAGCCUCGUUGAAGUCGCAAAACAGCAGCCUUCACAACGUGCUGUUUCACAAUACAAGCAGUCACGAACCACGACAUUUUAAUUGCAAAGACCGUCAACCAUCCGUAGAUGCUUCGCCAAGCAAAGUCAGCCUCAAAUCUCAACUCUCGACACAAAGUAAAAGUUCGAGCAAAA